UCUUUCGCACAGCUGAGGCGGAUCUGGAGCCUGAUUAUGUCCCUGACGCACACAUAAUUGAUGACCUAAUUGCGGAGCGGGAGGAGGAGAAAAGUUGACUUGUUCCUCCUGCUCACAUGUAGUCCCACAGCUGAAGGCAUUGAUGUGAGCCGAGAGGCUGUGAGCUUUUUAUUGCACUUCUUUCCCCCGUCUUUCACCUUCACGCACGGCGCACAAAUCCACAUUCUCACUUUUAGUUUAGCGCGGCUGCGUUUGUUUUUCCGUCACACCCUUUUUUCCACCCCUUCCUCGCCUUCUUUUUGGGGAGAGGGACAUUCAUUCCUUUUGAAACGCGAAUUGACGUCGUUUCGAAGGAGAAAAAACAAACCGCCAACGUCUUCACCGCCUCACCGUUCCACCUCGAGUUGAACGUCCUUCACCGGACUGUCACAGCCGCCGCAACUCACCACGGCCAACACGCACUCGGCGCUGCGGCGGCAUCUUCAACAUGAGCCUUAAAACGGACCCGGAGCCGAACAACGUAUCCCUGGAGGAGGAGGUACGAACACUCUUUGUCAGCGGCCUACCAGUUGACAUCAAACCACGGGAACUGUAUCUUCUCUUCAGGCCUUUUAAGGGUUAUGAAGGGUCACUGAUUAAGUUAACAUCAAAACAGCCAGUCGGGUUUGUAACCUUUGACAGUCGAUCUGGAGCUGAAGCAGCAAAAAAUGCUCUAAAUGGUAUCCGUUUUGACCCAGAAAGCCCACAGACCCUGCGCUUAGAGUUUGCUAAAGCCAACACGAAGAUGGCAAAGAGUAAGCUGAUGGCCACACCGAACCCCACAAAUAUCCACCCUGCUCUAGGAGCACACUUCAUUGCACGGGACCCAUAUGACCUGACAGGGGCAGCACUGAUCCCAGCCUCCCCGGAUGCAUGGACCCCUUACCCACUGUACACAACAGAGCUGACCCCCGGCCUCCCUCAUGCGGCCUUCACUUAUCCUGCGGCGGCCGCUGCUGCCGCAGCCCUCCACGCCCAGGUGAGGGACCAGCCGGGGCCACACCUGUGGGGGCCAUAGCCACGAGAUGCCAUGGUGGGUGCCCCUUAUUUUCAUUUAUGAAAGUUGGCAACCAGACCUGUGUCAAGUCUAAUCAAGUGGCUGAAGUGGCGUAAAACGCAGGGGUGCCCAUUACGUUGAUUGCGAUCGACCAGUAGAUCAAGGACUGGUCCCAAGUCGAUCCGGGGGGGGGGGGGGGGGGGGGGGGAGUAGUAUCUGCUUGUUAGUAAUAUUUUUGUGUUAAUGCACACUGCACCCACAUAAUUCUAUCCAUCUCACUUUCACAAAAAGUAAAGCAGGUCAUUUUUAACCUACGCAGUUACACGUCACCGGAAGUUGUUCAUGCUCAGCAGUCUGCAGCUUGUGAUCAGAGUUGUUGCUCUGUAUCUUUUAUCGUUAUUUUUUAUCGUUUAUUUUGUACAAUUAACCGCGGGGAGGAGCAAAGAAUGCGAGUCUGGAGGGCCGAGAGAAGCAUUUGAAAACGGUACGCGUGAGCUACGAUAGUUAAUAGGCCAACAAAGUGCGUAGCAUGCCUCGGCGUCGGCUAUUGCUCAUCAUGGAAUGCGCACGUGUGUGGUAACUGGUUGAUCAUGGGAGGUUGGUUGAUUGAAAAGUAGCUCUUCGGUCAAAACAGUAUGGGCACCCCUGGUCUAACGUUUUCUAAAAAAAUCAAGCUCCCCGUUUUCCUGGCCAAUGUCCAAAAGAUGCAGUUAAAAAAAUCCAAUACUUGAAGUGGCAUGUACGCUGUAGUUAUCUAAUCCUGUUGACAAACCGUUCAAGCAAAAUGCCAUAUCUGCUUUUUAGUCAUUUCCAAUUCAUUGUGUGCCAGUUCCACUUGAUUGAGCACAAGGGAAGGGAGUUCUGCAUCACAAAGCCCUAUGUAUGACAUAGGCUCUUUUGCUGGCCACUUAAGUCUAAGGUAUUUGCUUGGCUGACCGAAUGUAGCCAAAAUGUGUGCGGGCGCAUGGGCAAAGGGAGGUUUUCUAAUUGGAAUCCGAGAUUAUAGAAAUUGCCGGAGUAUUCGACUCCCAUCAUUGAGUUGUAGCCAAAUUGCUAACCUCCUGACCAUAAGGGUGUCGUGGCUUCUGUAACGGAGGCGUUGCAGUAUAUUCGUAUUUGGAAAAUGUUUAAAUGGAGAGCUUGAUCUCUGUUUACUUUUGGUGCUGCAGAGUUGUGCUCAGCUAAAUGAAAGACUGUUCUACUUUAAAAGGAGAGGGUGGGGGGGGGGGAAAUCUUGGAAUUAUGUGUUGAAGCACCUCAUUGUGGUCAUGACUGUUUGUGUGCCUUCAGAUGCGCUGGUACCCGACUCCUUCAGAGACUUCCCAGCCUGGAUGGAAGUCCCGCCAGUUUUGUUAGAUACUUGGUGUCUGGAAACCACACCUUUGUCCAGUUGAAGUGAGGUUUGCCAAGCUCGUUAAUUUAAUCAGGUUUAUUUAAUGGACAAAUGUGCAUUAGUUAACAGUAUUUAUAUCUCCGCCAAUUGUCGCUGGGGGGCAGUCGGAGUAGAAAACCAAUUUGCUGUUGACAAUCUCCAUGUGGCCCCUUUUUGUGGUACAUCUUAGCACUUGCAGGAACCUUUUGUGAACGAGUCCAAGCUCGUGGAUCAUUGUUGCUGAGGAAAAUUAACAUCGUGAAGUUGUAAAGAUCUUCCCCCUGACCUCAAGUGUCAAGUCAUUGCAUGUUCAAGUCUUUUUGGCAUGAAUUUAGAACAGAGUUCUGCGUAUCUUAGUUUGUGUUGCCUCUUUACCUUGGUCUGGGCAGUGAAAUGUUUUGCCUCCCUGUAGCUCCUCGUCUUUCCUCUGUUCAAUGGCUUAUCUCGCAUGGACCUUGUGAAGGUAACGCUGUGUUCUGACAAUCCCAGUCCGUGUGAUCCUGUCAUUAUUUGACCAGAAUAAAGUACAAGUAUUUUUGUACUUUUUGUGUAGUGUGUAUAUAAAUAUAUGCAUUUUUGUGCAACUUAAAUGAACAUGUUGAAUGUUUAGUUGUGUUUUCAGUGUUCAUUUUUGUUCCUGUAAUCCUGUUAAAAUAGUUUUAGAGGAAGAAAAGUGCAAUUUGUUUAAAUGGGGAUUGGGUGUCUUUCCACCCCCCCCCCCCCCCCCCAAAUGGAAGUAUUCUGAACAUGGCGUGUGCCGGUCUGCUAAAAUGAGAUUGCUGUGAAACGAUCUUUCAGAAUGUGAAACUGGACUACAAACGGGCAAGCAGGAAUGGAGGGGAGAAAUUUAGUUUGUGGUUUAGAAACAUGUUUGUCUCUGUAUCUGCUGUGCAUAAGAUGUAAACAAAUGAAUAAAAAGUGAAUGCAUUUC